rnacentral:rRNA from 1 species
GAUGAACGCUAGCGGGAGGCCUAACACAUGCGAGCCGAGCGGUAUUGUUUCUUCGGAAAUGAGAGAGCGGCGUACGGGUGCGUAACACGUGUGCAACCUGCCUUUAUCUGGGGGAUAGCCUUUCGAAAGGAAGAUUAAUACUCCAUAAUAUAUUGAACGGCAUCGUUUAAUAUUGAAAGCUCCGGCGGAUAGAGAUGGGCACGCGCAAGAUUAGCUAGUUGGUGAGGUAACGGCUCACCAAGGCGAUGAUCUUUAGGGGGCCUGAGAGGGUGAUCCCCCACACUGGUACUGAGACACGGACCAGACGCCUACGGGAGGCAGCAGUGAGGAAUAUUGGUCAAUGGGGGCAAGCCUGAACCAGCCAUCCCGCGUGAAGGACGACUGCCCUAUGGGUUGUAAACUUCUUUUGGAUAGGGAUAAACCUACCCUCGAGAGGGUAGCUGAAGGUACUAUACGAAUAAGCACCGGCUAACUCCGUG